rnacentral:lncRNA from 1 species
UCAACCCGGCCCAAACCCGCAAGGGAAAUACAUGUCUUCUUCUUCCUCUCCCCCACUCGUUCUGGUUUAUCUCCAGAGAACGAAACGAGAUAUUCAGGAUAGUUGAAAUCUUACGUACCAGAAGUGAAAGAAGAUGAUUUACAGAAAGUGGAGUCUUCUCACUGGUCCGACGGCCAUAAUCGGAGGCAUCGUCGGCGCCACCAUCGUCGCCAACUACCUUUUCAUCCAGAACGUAAUACUCCCUCCCCUUUCGCUCUUUCCAUUUCUACCAAUCCCUAGCUUUUCCCGCUAAAUCCUCAAUCGCUUGCGUGAAAAAUAAAAACAUCGACUGAGAAUUUUUCCUAUUACCGCUCCAAUUUUCGAUCAGUUUCUGUGAUUGAUAAUUUCAUUUUUUGUACGGUCUAUUGGGAGUUGGGGUUUGUGAAUUGUGAUUGGUUCGUUCUAAUACGUUGCGAUUGCUCUUAAAAUUUGUAGGAUUGGCUUAUCAAAAGAGACCAGAAGAAACAGCCAUCUUCAUCAUCAUCUUCAAAAUAAAGAUGGAACAAUGAAGGUCUUGUUCAGUUGUUUAAAUAAUCUUCCUUGUGCGUUCUUCUUUUGUUCACUGUGAAUAACAUGAAUAUGGUGACAGAUGAUAAUAAUCUGAGAUGUAUUUGCUCUUUCUAUGAUAAAUUCAAUUGCUGAGGCUGAUUUCGACUGACAAAUUAACAUCAAUGUCAUCUGUAGCCAUUUACAAUCAUCUGCAUCACCAAAUCAUUCCAUGAAUCUAUAGGCCCUGGCAAGCACCAAUGCAAGCAAUCAUUUUGAACUUUCUCAUCUUUGUUUGCAAAAGGCUGAGAAUGCAUAUACGGUCCAGGGUGUCCAUCUGGUCUCAACACUGAUAGCCUUGUUGUAUCUAGCAGCUUCAGAACCGCUCGAUUCCCCAAUUCUCCAGCUGUGGCCUUCUCGAAUUCCUCCAGCUCAAUGUCUCUCAUCUGUCUAUCCAAUUCUCCGAUAUCGACCUCGCCGUGUUUGAACGGUACUGUUCGAUUGCAGGUCCCUCCGCUGAACCAUUCUCCGUUCUCGAAGUGGUCCGGUGUGGUCGUUCGCAAGAACAGCGACGCCCUUUGCUUGGCCGCAAAAUUGAGAGCGAGGGCUAUCGCUCUGCGGUAUGCGUAGUCGUGCCCCAGCUCGGUCAGGUUCAUCCCGGGGCAGUAAUGGCACCCUGCGACCUCGUUGUUUUCGUGGUACACUGCGGUCUUCAGGAACCACUUCCCAGCUGCAAUCACCGCGUAGUCGAAGCUCUCGUAUUGCUCGGUCCAUUUGGGAUCGAGCUUGUCGAGGUGGAGCUGGAUUUCUUUUGAGGAGAUGCCGUUGUUGUCCUCGAAGAUCUCGGAUUUGAUCAAGAAUGGAGACCAGAUAACGGAGAGGGUGAAGUUGUGAGAUCGGAACAGCCAUCUUUUGGAUUUGUCCUCUUUGUCACGGUACACUUCCACUCCAUCUUCCACCUUAGAGGUGAAAUAAAAACAAGGUCAAAGCAGAGAUCAAUGUCGUCAACAUUAACCCGAAUAGGGGGUGUUUAUGAGCCGAACUAGCUCGAUAAAUAUUAUAACUGAACUCUAAUUAUAAUAUUAACAUUUAUGUUGGACUAAUUUAGUCUUAAACUUCUCAACUCAUUGUUCAAAUCUAACUAACAUCUCGUUCGGUACAUAUAGACUGAACACUACAUACAGCCACUAAUCGAGCUGGCUCACAAGUUACAAAUCGAGCUGACUCAUGAGCCAAUUACGAGCUCACUCAUUUAUUUUUGAGCCGGGUUUGGAGCAAUUUGAUUUGUCAAUGGCCCUAACCUAACCUUUAAGUAUGUAUUGCAAUUGGAACUGAGCAUUAGGAGAUUGGACAACGACUCCACAACAUAAUUGGUCUUCUUCGUUAAACCUUCACCGCUAAUUUACAAAGAUGGCGACAAAUUUCUCCCACCAUCCGAAUAAUUCCUUUGCUUUUUUUUUUAAUUUAAUUAUUCUCUUAUCCAGCUCGUAAGCAACCUAUCAAACCAUGAACUGACAUUUCAAGCUUUAAGCUUUGAACUGAUAUUACUUACCUUCUACUGAAAGUGGUUCAUAGUUUCAUAUCUUGUCACUGUUCUAUCUACUUCAACUUGAAUAAUGAUUUGAAUUAACCUUCUUCUGGGGUUUUG